UGUGGCCUCUAUGUUUUCCAUCUUGUCUGAAGGCCUCAUAGUUGAGUGGCUGUGCUGGAGGAAGGCUUGGUGCCAAACCAACUGGCAGAGGCUGCUGGACCUUGGAAAACCAAGAGCUGCUCUCCAUUCCCUCCAUCCUGUAGGGAAUGCUUCUGAAGGCUGCCAGGCUGCCCCCAAAAGGAGCAGUAUGCCCCGGUGUUGUCAUAGCUCCAGUUCACUGGGAUGUCAUCUUGGCUCUUGCAACAAGCAAAAGUGAUUUGCAAUUUCCAAAACACUUGGGCAGAUUUCCUUCAUCCUGGUGGGGGUGCACCAAGGAGGUCCCUGCGAAGAGCUGGUGGCUGUGGUGCAUCUCAAGGCAUGGGUGGUGCAGCUGAUCUCUUUAGAAGUGUAUGUACUUUAAUUCUAAAUCACCCCGAUUCCUUGUGCAGUGUGAUAGUUGUUUUCAGAAACUUGCUUUAUCUACUGCAGAAAACUUGCUAUUAAUUUUAUAGAGGCAGAGGAUUUAAUAAAUUAAAGGAGAUGAGAAUGAAGAGGCAAGCCCAACCUUUAGCCAAAGCAUGAAGGAAUCAUGAGAAUGCUGAACAUACUUUUUUCCCCUUUGUAAUGAAUGUACAAUAUUUUUCUUCAUUACUAGCUGUUGUCUUUGCAAGUGAAAAUAUAGGCUUGUGACCCAAGGCCACAGAAAUGUGGGAAUACUAGUACAUAAAACCAUUUGUACUGAAAUGGUCCCUAAGAUAAAUAAUGUUCUUAGCAGCAGUAGGAGAGUGAUGGUUUGUUAUCAGUCCUUGUGGUUUAGCCUGUACAGUACACUGACUGUGGGCUAAGGGCUUGCUGGGCGCUCCCUGCCAUCCCAGUGUGGCAGGAAUAGAUCAAAAGAGUUGCUGUUUCACAUUUAAGUCCAUGGGUCACGAAAGAGGGGCUGAAAAUCAGCACAUUCAUACCGCUGCCAAUCUCUGCAACUCAGUCAGCUUGAGGAUGGUUUGGGCAUCAAAGGAGCACUGCUGUGUCCCAGCACUUCUGUCUCCCUGAUCCGGGGGAGUUGAUACACUUUAAAGUGUGUGUAUGUACAGUUUCAAGAGUUCUAUAGUGUCCUUGCUCAUAACCCACCGGUGGAAAACUUGGUAGAGGCCAAACUGAUGUUCUAGGGCAAAAACUGAGUGACCUGGGGCUUUGCUUGCAGACAGUCUUGCAUGGCUAUUUGGAGCUGAUGAAACAACCAGCUCAACAGUUUUACACAUCUGAAUGCUGUAAAACUAACAUUUAACGAAGCGUAACAUGGAUAACAGUAAAUUCUGUGCAGCGGCUUGCUUGUAUUGAUUACAAGGUUCAAAGAUUUUUAGUGUGGACCUGUUAAGCAUCUGCAGUGCUGAGGCUGGAAUGAGGCUUGGCAAAUGAUAACAAGGUUGCUAAGAUGAUGUUCUUUCUGCUUUUAUGUCAUCUGCUGCUUUGGAGAGUCAGUCAAGAGGCCUGGGAAUGGGUUGGUGGUGCGGGAGAUGCUCCCAGCUCUGUUUUAUCUGAGUGCAAGCCCACGGUGUGGCUGCAUCAUGCUUUAGAGUCAUAGAACUGCUCAGGUUGGAAAAGACUUUGAAGAUCAUCAAGUCCAACCAACUGCCCAUGGCAGUGUACAGGGCCACACAAGAUGGGCCUACCUGCAAAUAGAGCAGGCAAGGGUAUAGUUUGGCAUGCUGAAAGCUGGCUCCUGGCUUCAGCCUGAUCCCUUGGUGAGAGCUGAAUAAUUCGUGCCUGCUCAGGGAUGCCGGCAGCUGUUUCUCUGCCAUGUGAUGUACGCUAUGCAUCCUCUCCUGCCCAGCAAUGGAGUAGAAAUGGGAAGAUGUAUGCUCAGGCAGAUGAUGUUGCGGAAAGAAAAUCAAUACAGAUCAAGUGAAGAGUUUUAAUCUUGCCUCGUGAUAACUCUGUGUCUGUCCUUCCCCUGUAUAUGCGUUAUGUCAGCAAACACUGCUUGCUUGCAAGUCAAAAUCCCAUGCAAUAGGAGAGGUAUAAAUAUGAGUACAUGCAUCAUGCUGUUUAACCCCCACAGCCCCUGCUCCUCUCAUUGGCCUGAUGGCAGCUGUGCCCCAAACUGUAUGCAGAGGGCUUUCAUUUCAUAAAACAGCAGCUACUUCUCCUGCAUAUGUUCUGACAAUAGCAAUUAAGAACAUUGCAGCGCACCAGGGAACUGCUAAAUAUAGUGUGGCCUGAAGUUAUAAUUAGAUUUCCUGAUUUGUUUUUUCCUUAUUAUUUUUUUCUUUUUGGUGGUUGGGAUUUGCUCUUUCUCCACCUCUGUAUGGUGUGGGAGAUCUUAAAGGUCAGGUGAGCCCUGGAGUCCUCUGUACAAGGCUGUGCUUUGGGAAACUCUUCUCCUUCAGGAAACACAGGAAGAGGCAGAGCUUUAAUUCUUGGAUGUCUCGAUUCAUAGAAUCAUGAAUGGUCUGGGUUGAAAAGGCCCACAAUGAUCAUCCAGUUCCAACCCCCUGCUG